AUGUCCAAAGAACCACGUGACAUAUGUUGUAAGCAAUUCAAGCUAAUAAAAAAAAGAUGUCAAAAGACAUCAAGGAUACACACAGCUAAAAAAAAGAACAGAAGAAAGAAAAAAGACUCCGCCAUGGUGAACAAUGCUAGCAGAAGCGGCAGCACUCUAACCACCACCAAAGACAACACCCGGAAUACAAAAGAGGUUCUCCUAAAGCAACGCAUCCAAGAAGGAAACAAUGCACAAGCUUUGUCGUUGCCCGAUCGAAGAUCUCGGGUUUUCACCCAGAGAAAGUCCGAGUUCACCCGAAACAAUGCCUUCAACAAGGCCAUUGCCAGGUACAACCAAUAA
rnacentral:rRNA from 1 species